GUUCCAUGUUGCAUCACCCUGUUGGUCAGAAAAUUCCAUGGAUAAGAAUGGAAUCUGUUUUAUCCAUAAAGGGAAUUCUUAGUUAACCUUUAGUUUAUUAUAAUUCACCAAAUUUUGAGGACCUGCAACAGUUGAAAAACUGCUAUUUUGAGAAAUGGAGAACAUUCUGGUGGUCAACCUCCCCCACCAUUCCCCCAUAGGUAUCACUUCUUCUUUCUCACUGUUAAACUUGACAAGCUAAUUUUGCUUCUCUUUGAAAUUAUAUGUACCAAUGCUCCAGUGACCUGAUCCCUCACCUUGACCUCAGAACUUUCCUCACUUUGACCUCAGCACCUAGCAGGAAAAAACCCAAGAGACCCUGUGAAAACACUCUUUGUAUAAUGCUUCCCCAGGCACAUGAUCCUCUAAACUGUAAGGAGAAAUAAUCUAAUAUGUAUGUGAGACAGAACAAGUACAGCAAGAAAUUGCCAGCCUUGAGCCCAGAUCUCUGAGGCUCGAAUAACUGAACUUCUUAUGAAGAACAUUGGACCACUAAAAAUUCAACUUUGCUCCGAUUCCAGGUGACGGUAAGUCUGUUGCAACAUUUAGGCAUCUCUAUAUUAAGCUAUUUAAAGGACUCAAUUGAAUUGUAGAAGUGAUGUUGGCUAUAGGCUUCAAAAGGUUUAAAUGGCAUAGGUAGGAAGACGGAAGAACCUACAUCCGUGUAAAUUAAAACUUUAAGAGAUGUCGUAAAACAAGAGUCAGGGAGAAAUUACU
rnacentral:lncRNA from 1 species